CUUCAGCGCAUCAGUGUGUUUAACUGUCUCUGAGUUUCUCACUUUACAACACAAAACACACAACAAACACACAAAAUGAAUCUCUUCAUCAUCACCUUCAUGUGGAUUCUUGCUGUUUUUAUUCAAGAAUCCAGAGGAGUUACUGUAACUCAGAGUAAAGUUGAACCUGUUUCUGAGGGUCAAAAUGUGAAUAUAAAGUGUACAACUAAUCCUGCAAUAGAUGGCUGGGGUUUAUCUUGGUAUCAGCAGAAACCUGGAGAAGCUCCUAAACUCCUCAUUACUGGAGUAGAUAGUCGUUAUGAAAACACUCCAGAUAGAUUCAGUGGAGAUGGAGAACAAGAUGGUACAGAUUUCACUCUGAGCAUCAGUGGAGUUCAGACUGAAGAUGCAGGAGAUUAUUACUGUAUGAGUGUUCACAGCAUCAGUGGUAGCUAUGUGUUCACACAGUGAUAAAGAGUCGUACAAAAACCUCCAUCAGUCAGACA